rnacentral:lncRNA from 1 species
GUUGUGACGGAGGAUGCAGUGCCCAUGAAGGUUGAUGCGGUGAACCUGCAGUGGUUGCAGUGCCCCCUACAGUUUGCCUGAAUGAGGAUGCAGUGCCCAUGCAGUGCAUGCAGUGUCCCACAAGGUGGAUGCGGUAUGCUGUGACGCAGGAUGCAGUGCCCACGAAGGUGGAUGCAGUGAGCCUGAAGUGAUUGCAGUGCACUUGCAGUGCCACUUCAGCUGGAUGGAGUGUUGCUGCAGUGGUUGCAGAGCCAAGUGCAGUGACACUGAACAUGGAUGCUGUCCCUAUGCAGUAGAUGCAGUGUCCCACAAUGUGCAUGCAGUAUGUUGUUAGGGUGGAUGCAGUGCCCGUGAAGGUGGACGCAGUGAUCCUGAUGUGGUUGCAGUGCCCCUGCAGUUUAACUGAAUGUGGAUGCAGUGCUCAUGCAGUGGAUGCUUUGUCCCUAAAGGUGGAUGCCUUAUGAUGUGUUGGAAGAUUCAGUGAUCAUGAAGGAGGAUGCAGUGAUCCUGCAGUCAUUGCAGUGAACUCACAGUGCCACUUCCGUGUGUUGCAGUGUCCCUGCAGUGCCCCGUCCUGUGUCCCUGAAUGUGGAUGCAGUGCCCUUACAGUGGAUGCAGCGCACCAAAUGUUGAUUGCCGUAUGUUGUGACAGAGGAUGAAGAGCCCUGGAUUUGUACACAUUGAGCCGGCAGUGAUUGCUGUACGCCUUCAGUGCCACUUCAGGUGGAUGCAGUGUACCUGCAGUGGUUGCAAUGCCCCCUGCAUUUUCCUUGAAUGUGGAUGCAGUUCUCUUGCCGUGGAUGCAGUGUCCCACAAUGUGGAGGCAUUGGCGUUUGCUGUAGGAUGCAGUGCUGAUGAUGGUGAAUGCAGUGAUCCUGAAGUGAUGGCAGUGCAUCUGCAGUGCCAGUUCAGCUGGAUGCAGUGUUGCUGCAGUGGUUGCAGUGACCCCUACAGUUUUCCUGAAUGUGGAUGCAGUGCCCAUGCAGUAUCCCACAAGGUGGAUGCCGUAUGCUGUGAUGGAGGAUGCAGUGCCCACGAAGGUGGAUGUAGUGAGCCUGAAGUGAUUGUAGUGCUCUUGUUGUGCAACUUCAGCUGGAUGCAGUGUUGCUGCAGUGGUUGCAGAGCCAACUGCAGUGUCCCUGAAUGUGGAUGCAGACCCCAUGCAGUGGAUGCAGUGUCCCACAAUGUGCAUGCAGUAUGUUGUUACGGAGGAUGCAGUGCCCAUGAAGGUGGAUGCAGUGAUCCUGCAGUGGUUGCAGUGCCCCCUGCAGUUUACCUGAAUGUGGAUGCAGUGCUCAUGCACUGGAUGCUGUGUCGCUCAAGGUGAAUGCCUUAUGUUUUGUUGGAGGAUUCAGUGAUCAUGAAUGUGGAUGCAGUGAGACUGCAGUGAUUGAAGUGCGCUUGCAGUGCCACUGCGGCCUGAUGCAGUGUGGCUGCAGUCAUUGCAGUGCACCCUGCAUUGUCCAGGAAUGUGGAUGCCGUGGCCAGGCAGUGAAUGCAGUUUCCCACAAGGUGGAUGCAGUAUGUUACGACGGAUAAUGCAGUUCUCAUGAGGGGGAUGCAGUGUCCCUGCAGGGCUUGCAGUGCCUCCUGCAUUGGCCAGGAAUGUGGAUGUAGUAGUCAUGAAGUGGAUGCAGUGUCCCACAAGGUGUAUGCAGUAUAUUGUGAUGGAGGAUGCAGGGCCCAUGAAGGUGGAUGCAGUGAUGCUUCAGUGGUUGCAGUGCCCCCUACAGUUCCCAGAAUGUGGAGGCAGUGCCCAUGCAGUAGUUGCAGUGUCCCACAAGGUGGAGGUCGUAUGUUGUGAUGGAAGAUGCAGUGACCACGGAGGUGGAUGCAGUGAGCCUGUGCUGAAUGCAGUGCUCCUGCAGUGUGACUUCAGCUGUAUCCAGUGUCCCUGCAGUGGUUGAAGUGCCAACUG